GGAAACUUAAAAACUACCGUUGGAUUGAGAAAUGGACGUCCGAGAUUCGUCCACGUCACCAUGAGUUAAAAUUUAACUCGCAGAUUCACUCAUGAGUUCAAAUUUUACUGGGAGUUAAAUUUUAACUCAUAGUGACAUGGGCGAAUCUCGGACGUCCAUUUCUCGAUCCAACGGUUGUUUCCAAGUUUUC
rnacentral:pre_miRNA from 2 species